GCCGGGGUCGUCUAAGCAGGUAUGACGCUUCGCUCAAGACGAGGUGGCGCCUCGAACGCCGUACGGGUUCGAAAUGCUAUCACGGACUUCCCGUCCCCGGCG
rnacentral:tRNA from 1 species